CCUACGGGAGGCAGCAGUGAGGAAUAUUGGUCAAUGGACGAGAGUCUGAACCAGCCAAGUAGCGUGAAGGAUGACUGCCCUAUGGGUUGUAAACCUCUUUUGUCGGGGAGCAAAGCGAGUCACGUGUGACUCAUUGAGAGUACCCGAAGAAAAAGCAUCGGCUAACUCCGUGCCAGCAGCCGCGGUAAUACGGAGGAUGCGAGCGUUAUCCGGAUUUAUUGGGUUUAAAGGGUGCGCAGGCGGGGGUACAAGUCAGCGGUCAAAUUGCGGGGCUCAACCCCGUACUGCCGUUGAAACUGCAGCCCUUGAGUGCGCGAGAGGUAUGCGGAAUGCGUGGUGUAGCGGUGAAAUGCAUAGAUAUCACGCAGAACUCCGAUUGCGAAGGCAGCAUACCGGCGCGCAACUGACGCUCAUGCACGAAAGCGUGGGUAUCGAACAGGAUUAGAUACCCGGGUAGUC
rnacentral:rRNA from 1 species